AAAAGUAAUUGUGGGCUUUGC
rnacentral:miRNA from 1 species